rnacentral:rRNA from 1 species
CACGUAGGGGCAAGCGUUGUCCGGAUUUAUUGGCGUAAAGAGCUCGUAGGCUGUUCGAUAAGUCGGGUGUGAAACCUCCAGGCUCAACCUGGAGACGCCACCCGAUACUGUCAUGACUAGAGUCCGGUAGGGGAGCGUGGAAUUCCUGGUGUAGCGGUGAAAUGCGCAGAUAUCAGGAGGAACACCAGCGGCGAAGGCGGCGCUCUGGGCCGGUACUGACGCUGAGGAGCGAAAGCGUGGGUAGCGAACAGG